AUUGAACGCUGGCGGCAGGCUUAACACAUGCAAGUCGAGCGAGCGGCGGACGGGUGAGUAAUGUCUGGGAAACUGCCUGAUGGAGGGGGCUAACUACUGGAAACGGUAGCUAAUACCGCAUACCAUCAGAUGUGCCCAGAUGGGAUUAGCUAGUAGGUGGGGUAAUGGCUCACCUCGGCGACGAUCCCUAGCGGGUCUGAGAGGAUAACCAGCCACACUGGAACUGAGCAACGGUCCGGACCCCUACGGGAGGCAGCAGUGGGGAAUAUCGCACAAUGGGGUCAAGCCUGAUGCAGCCAUGCCGCGUGUGGGAAGAAGGCCUUCGGGUUGUAAAGCACUUUCAGCGAGGAGGCGUUACUCGCAGAAGAAGCACCGGCUAACUCCGUGCCAGCAGCCGCGGUAAUUC
rnacentral:rRNA from 1 species